UUUCAUCAAAAAAUUCUGCCUGACCAUCUGACCCUCCACUGUUGACUCAAAGCAGGCAGAUAAAGUGGCGUGAUUGAGAGA